rnacentral:rRNA from 1 species
GACGUAGGGCGCGAGCGUUGUCCGGAUUUAUUGGGCGUAAAGAGCUCGUAGGCGGCUUGUCGCGUCGACUGUGAAAACCCGAGGCUCAACUUCGGGCUUGCAGUCGAUACGGGCAGGCUAGAGUUCGGUAGGGGAGACUGGAAUUCCUGGUGUAGCGGUGAAAUGCGCAGAUAUCUGGAGGAACACCGGUGGCGAAGGCGGCAUCCUGGACCGGCAUUGACGCUGAGGCGCGAAAGCCAGGGGAGCAAACAGG